ensembl:ncRNA lncRNA:CR44729 long non-coding RNA:CR44729
CAAAAUAGAAAACGUCACACACAGCCGCCUCAAACUGCAUUUCCCCCUAAUUGCAUCACCCACACAUCGCGCUUGUUGUUGCUGUGAGUCAUGCAAACAACAACGGACUCCAUUGAGUGGCAGCUACCAGUCUUCAAUACCAAAUCAAGCAUUACUUGCAUAACCCAUUGGAGUCAUCGACCACAUUGUCCCAUACCCAUCAUGAUGAACAUCAUCAUUGCGAUCGGCGGGCAGACCAGACCAGACCGGGGCCUGGAUAAAUAUUUUUCCAAAACACAACUCGAACAUGGAUCCGAGAACUCGGACUGGAUGCGCCUCUUGAAGACGUCAGGAAAAGCCAGUAGCCGGUAGAGAAAGAGCUGGUCGGUUGGUUGGUUGGACAGACAGUCAGACAGACAGACAGAGCAUGUGUUCUUCUCACCACCAUCGGUCAGCAGCUUUUGAAGCACCCACUGACGGGACCCAACAAGAACUCAGCUCCGCAGCAUGCGUCUGGCACCCAAGUAAUCCAACCAUCUAACCAUCCAACCAUCCAUCCAUCCGUGAGUCCAUGUCCAAGCCAUCCAAUCUUAACCCGUUCGUUUGGUUCCCACUGUUUCCCGGCUUUUAACGCAGCGCUGCACUGAUGCAUGACCAAACAUCUUCAGUUCUGGUCAGUUUGGAGCUCCGUGCUCCCCCUCACACCGUUCAUUUUAUUUCUUUUCUUGGAAAUCUGUUGACGCAGCUCGACGAGA